AGUACUAGCGGCAGUGCCCGCGGGGAUGGAGGCAGGGAGGGGGGACGAUGGCGGGACGGGUGGCGCCGGGGUUCCAGCCCUGCGCCUGCUCCGGAGCACCGGGCCCCUCUCGCUGACCCCCUCGUCCCAGGACCCCGCAGGCCCGAGUGCCUGGGCUCGUCCUCUUUCGCGCCCGCUGCCAGGUGCCAGGGCCGCGCAGGCGGGCGGAGGUGGGCAGGAAGCGCCACGCCGAGGAGCCGGGGACUCUGGGAGCUAGCGGGAGACGCCGGCGUCCGCCCAGCCGACCCCUCUGGGCCGCGGCCGACGGCUCCCGGAACUGGGCAGCCGCGGGACAGAAGUCGGUCCUAGGCCCCCCAGGCUCUGACCUUCUUUCCCAGGAUGAGGUGGGGCCACCAUUUGCCCAGGGCCUCUUGGGGCUCUGGUUUUAGAAGAGCACUCCAGCGACCAGGGCCUUUAUACGCCACCACGGAAGCUCGGUAGAUAGCGCUCCCCCACCCGGGAGGCAUGGACGGCUGUUCCCCAGCGCCUCUGCAACUGAAGCUAUACAGCGGCACCGCCGGAACCUGGCUGAGUGGUUCAGCCGGCUGCCCAGGGAGGAGCGCCAGUUUGGCCCAACCUUUGCCCUAGACACGGUCCACGUUGACCCUGUGAUCCGCGAGAGUACCCCUGAUGAGCUACUUCGCCCACCCGCGGAGCUGGCCCUGGAGCAUCAGCCACCCCA
rnacentral:lncRNA from 10 species